UCAAUUCACCCACACCAUUCUCAUCUUCUAUAAACAAUGACUGAGUUACCCGCCGGAAGCACAACACCGUCUUCUUCGUCGCUGCGCCUUCUUUGUCAUCUUUUGAUUGCAGCACCGUUUCCUGAGGUCUCGUCGCCGUCAUCUUCUGAGGUCUUGGCGUUGUCGCCUUCAUCUCUGAGAUCUCGGUGGCGUUGGCAUCGCCUGAGUUUGCAGAUCAUCUCAUCACUGUCCAGAUUUGACUUUCUCAUUGUCAUGUCGUUCUUUUCUCACCGUCGCCUCCUCUGGUCGUGCCGCCUCCUCUGCUCACUCCUUUGUUGCAGAUCGUCGUCUUGCCGUCCAGAUCCGCCGUUGCUCCUUGUCGUAUAGUUCAUUUCUUACCGCCACCUCCUCUGGUAGCUUCUUCUCUGGCAACAACAACAACAGUCUCUCUAGUAACUUCUUCUCAAACUAAUUUAUUUGAUAUUCUGAAGCCUCAAAUAACAAUCAUUUGUUGCUAGUAGAAGGAUAAUAUAUCUAAUCAGCGCGAGAAGAUAGUCCACCUUCUCGCGAAUGAGCAAUCUCGACUUCGAAUUCCAGAUGCAACUGAUCCUGUAAUUCUUUGUUUCUUUCUGAUAUCUCGCCUUCUCCUUGUUUGAUUCAGGUUUUAGGGAUGCAAGGAAGGGGUUAGGGUUUGGUGGUGGUGGAAGGAGCUGAAUGGAGGAGUCUGAACUUGAAGAUGGAUAGGGAUGCCCAUUCCAGAACCAUGAGGAGGAGCUUGAUGAUGCUAGCAUUGAUCCUGAUGUUGAUCUCUCUUACAUUAGCAUCAAGAGCAAGCAACCAGAAACGACAAAUUUUGGCUUUCCAGCAUCAGAUGUUGGAGAAUUGCAGGUAAUAAAGAAUUGUGACCUUGAAAAUCUUACAUAAUUAGGAUCUGGUACAUUUGGGACUGUGUAUCAUGGAAAAUGGAGAGGCACUGAUGUUGCAAUCAAGCAGAUUACUGAUAGGUGUUUUGCAAGAAAGCCUUUAGAGCAAGAGCGAAUGGUUUGCUUUUCAUUGAUAAUGGUUUUGAGUUCCCUUUUCCCCUACCUUUUUUCCAUGACUAAUGAAAUGGUUUACAUUGAUCAUCUGUUUAUACAUCAAAGAGUUGACUUUGGAAUGAGGCAAUCAAGCUUGUUGACUUGCACCACCCAAAUGUGGUGGCAUUCUAUGGUGUUGUCCUUGAUGACCUAGGAGAUUCUGUGUCAACAGUAACUGAAUAUAUGGUUAAUGGUUCUCUAAGAACUGCUUUGCUGAAGAAUGGGAGGUAAUAUCUGCAUGCUUUUCUCUAUGUGUGCAUCAUUUCUUGGUUCCUUUGCAUUAACCUGAUUCGAUGUUUUUCCCGAAUAAUAAGUUACUCUUACUUUGUAUUCACUUAAUUAUAGGACCGAAGUUUUACUGAGGAAAAUGUGAAAAAAGUGAAUCAAUUUGGAAAACACAAAAACUGAGGCUACAACACUAUUUUUGUUUUAAUUUAGAUAAAUUUCUUUUAUGGAUUUUGCUUUUAAGAGAGUAUAUAUAGUUUCUUGAUUAGUACUUAUGAUUUAAGUGUGUGUCUCACUUAUUCAAAAUAAAGCAAGACAGAACAUGCAAUACAAUUAUGUUACCCUACUUAAGAAAACUUUUCUAACACUUUUUUUAAUUUAUAGGUAAAAAAAUAAAAACAAUCUUGCAAAAACAUGUUUCAGGAAAAAGAACUAGACAAGAAAUGAAACAUACAAUCUUGCAACUUUAUAUGGACUUUGCAGGACGAUUCUAUUCGCUUAGAAUCUCAUUACAGUUGGUUAUGUCGAGUAAUCUGUAUAUGGGGUAUGCUCUUACUGUUUUUCAAGAUUAAGUUUGUGUGCUAUAGAACAUUGUGAUUCCAGAGUUGCAUAUGUUAUUUUAAAGAAAACUCAGCAAUUCCAUAGUUACAUAUGUUGCAGUAUUGUUUACUUUUAUGUGUUAAGGUGUAGGUUUUGUGUUGAUGGUCUUUCAAUAUUUGAUGGUCUAAGUGUAAAAAUUUAGUAAAAAGUUGGUAAUUAAAAAAUUAGGAUCAGCCAUGGAAAUUUGGUCACUAAAAUGCUUGGUUGCUAAUUAGCGACCGAUUUAGUGACUGAAAUGUUGGUUGCUAAAAUACAGGUCCACACUUAGCGACCGAAUUAGAGACUGAAACACUGGUCGCAAACUAGCGACCGAUUUAGUGACUGAAAAGUUGGUCGCCAUUUAGCGACCGAUUUACUCAGAGACUGAUUCAGCGACGGAAAAUUUGGUCACCAUUUAGCGACCGAUUUUGUUAGCGAUCGAUUUAUCGAUUGAUACUCUUUGGUGAGGGUUUGGUGGCCUUAGUAACAAAUCGGUUGCUAACGUUUAGUGACCAAAGUUGGUCGCUACUUUCUGGUUAGCGACCAUGGUUUUAGCAACCACCCAAAUCGGUCGCUAUUCUGGUAAUUUCUUGUAGUGUAUAUUUAGGGGUGUAAGUUACCGAACCGGACCGAAAAAUAUUGCAAAAUCGAAUCGAAAAUUACAACAACCGAAUGAAAAACCGAAAAAAAUCGUUUUUUUUUUCGAAUUAAACCGAUCGAUUUGGUUCGAUUUUCGGUUGGUUUGGUAGAAACAGAACCGAACCAAACUGAGGCAGAUGUUCUUUAAUGGCUGUUUUUACUGGUUUACCCUUAGUUUAACCUAGGUAUAAAAGCCUAAAUCUGAAACCCCUUCACUCUCUUUCCCUUUCACUCAUGCAGCCUCACUCACACAGACACCCACUUUCCCUUCCAUCUUCCAUUCUUCCUCCUCCAUGCGGCCAUGACUGAGAGAAUGAGAGGUUGAGAGAGCCAGAGAGCCAGAGAGCGUCAUCCACCAUCAAGGAAGCCAUCCACCGUCGCUCGAAGCCGUCGCAAGUUAUCCGUUCAUCUCCGUUGCAGACUCACAGGCAUAGCAAAGAGCAGUGCCGUCGUGUAGCCAGAAGCUCAGAAGCAUCAUCCAAUUCGCACCCUCCACCAUCGCUCGAAGCCUCCGUCCAAUCAUAAGCCGUGGCAACAAACACUAAGCGGAGUAGCACUCCAGUCGCCGAGCAGUACUACCAUCCCAGUUUUUUUUGCCUUUUUUUACUAAUACGUGCAUUAUGGGCUUAAACUUUUAGAAUAAUGUUGUGUUUGAAUACUGUGUGUGCUGCCCCAAGACUGCUUUUUCGUUUCUGUGGUUAUCAGAAACAAACCUGCGUUGUUGGACAAUCCUGUAGAUGUAUGUCACUCAAAUAAUUCGAAGGGAACAUCUGAGAUUUCCUUUGCAAAUUACCCCGCUCGUAGCUAUGGUUGGAUAUAUACCAAUUUAUAUAUAACUCAAUCAUCCAUAUUGUUUGCUCAGUUUUUUGGUAUCAAACUAUGCUCUAUGUUGCUGCUAGGUAUCAGAGCUGGUAUGUUUGUUCGAGAUACCAAGGCUCUUUGUCCCCAUCUUGUUACCUUUCCAUACAACUUUGAAGCUUAUGAGGAAGUAGCAGGUCUUGUUGGGUGUUCUCAAAGUGCAUAGCAUAAAGUAGUUAGUUGAUAUCUCUUUAAUCCUUAACUACUACUUGAUGUAGGCUGUAAGCUGUGAUGAAGCAUUUUUGGACUUUACAGAUGCUAUGGUUGAAGAUCUUGAACUUUUGGCUUCAUCAAUUAGAAAAGAGAUCUAUGAAACCACUAGGUGUACAGCAAGUGCUAUGAAUUUUAUGUUGAAUCUCGUAUCCUUGUAUAUUUGCAGAUAAUAGUAUCGAUGUACUUGGUACUCUUGUCUCUUGUUA